rnacentral:rRNA from 1 species
UGCUUCACACAUGCAAGUCGAACGGUAGCAGGCCUUCGGGCGCUGACGAGUGGCGGACGGGUGAGUAAUGCAUAGGAAUCUGCCUAUUAGUGGGGGACAACGUGGGGAAACUCACGCUAAUACCGCAUACGCCCUACGGGGGAAAGCUGGGGACCUUCGGGCCUGGCGCUAAUAGAUGAGCCUAUGUUGGAUUAGCUGGUUGGUAGGGUAAAGGCCUACCAAGGCGACGAUCCAUAGCUGGUCUGAGAGGAUGAUCAGCCACACUGGGAAUGAGACACGGCCCAGACUCCUACGGGAGGCAGCAGUGGGGAAUUUUGGACAAUGGGCGAAAGCCUGAUCCAGCCAUGCCGCGUGAGUGAAGAAGGCCUUCGGGUUGUAAAGCUC